rnacentral:misc_RNA from 1 species
CUUGAAGAGGAGAAAAAACAGGUACAUGACAAGUUAGAGCUCAAGCAAGAGACAUUAUUCCUUGCUGUUAAUUCGUUAGACAGAUUUCUGGAAAAACAAGUUGCCAAAAACAAGCUGCAGCUUGUUUGUCUUGUUACCUUUCUAAUAGCGAGCAAAUAUGAAGAAAUUUUGCCUCUUGUGCACGGAUUGUGAUUAUUUCAUAUGAAAUCUUCACAAGAAAAGACAUUCUUGAAAUGGAAAAUGCCAGUAAUUGAAUUUGAGUUGUGGACAAAAGUAAUCUCGAUCUAUU